GUGAGGCCAUCCCUGGGGGGCUUCUCCAAAACUCAAUCCAGGGCUUCCAUGUUUUAAGGUAUUUGUGCCGUCUCUCUAGUACUGACCAGUGUAUUUCUUCCAUUUCUCUUGCACAUUCUACCCGCCGUACCCAUUGCUCCCUUGAUGGCACACUGGGUCGACGCCAGUGCGUUGGCACGAGAGCAUUGGCUUCCCCAAGCAGAAUUUGUAGAAGUUGCUGUUUGUGUGGCUCCUUGAAGGAGCGAGGCCAGCCCAGUAGUACGUGAGAUGGGGUCAGACUGGCUCGCAGUGCGAGAAUUUCCGCUAUGUCAUCCAGUAUCUGCAACUCCACCAGAUGUGUUCCAU